CGCAGCAGUCGCGAAAACUUCACACUGGGGGCAACCCCGAUGAGGGAAUUCCUAGUGCCUGCACAUUUGUGUUUGGCUUUUCUUUAGCGUAGAUAACUAAAGGAAUAAGGGCUGGGUAAGACGGGUGCCAGCCGCCGCGGUAAUACCCGCAGCCCUAGUGGUGGUCGACAUUAUUGAGUCUAAAACGUUCGUAGCCGGUUUGGUAAAUCUUUGGGUAAAUCGGAGGGCUUAACCUUCCGAAGUCCGAGGAGACUGCCAAACUUGGGACCGGGAGAGGCAAGAGGUACUUUUGGGGUAGGGGUAAAAUCCUGUAAUCCUAGAAGGACCACCGGUGGCGAAGGCGUCUUGCUAGAACGGAUCCGACGGUGAGGGACGAAGCCCUGGGUCGCAAACGGGAUUAGAUACCCCGGUAGUCCAGGGUGUAAACGCUGCAGACUUGGUGUUGGGAACCCUUCGGGGGUGUCCAGUGCCGGAGAGAAGUUGUUAAGUCUGCUACUUGGGGAGUACGUCCGCAAGGAUGAAACU
rnacentral:rRNA from 1 species